GCCAUGGAUAGGGCCAUAGCAGAUCCAAGGUUGCAGAGAUUUUGUGUGUGUUGCUGCUGGACACCUGAAGGAAAUGGCAGAGGGAAAGGACUUUUCCAGGGGAUUAGUUGCUCUGUGUCCCAGCUGAAGGAAAAGAGGGAAGGAAGUCACCACACACUCCUGUUGCUUGAGGAGAUACUUGGCCAGUCCACCACCUCUGGAUUUCCACUGACCUCUUCUCCAGAAGGCGUAAAAAUAACAAUGUUGUUCUUUUGAGGGAGAAAUAUGAUAGAAGACUGAAAUAACCCUGUGGCACUUAACUGAAUAUUGCCCUGAUGGAAGCUAAGUGCUGGAUGGGACAAAUUUCUAGAGACGAGGCAAAGAAGAGAAACAAAUACUGAGAAGUAAAGGCUCACAUUCCUGACUGCUAAGGUAUCGGGGAACCUUGUGCUAGAGCAAGGAAGGCAGUGAAGCUUGAACUAAAGAUGUGAAGCGCUUUGCUGUGCCAUCUAUCUUCAUUGUCCUUUCUGGGAGCCACAGAAAUGGUACACACCCGAUCUGGCAACCGGAAACACCUAGCAACUGCAGCCUGAAUGAGGGCUUGAAAAAAUGCUCUGCCAUUUCAUUUAUCUUCUCUGUCCCUCCUGGCAACCAGAGAAACAGUGGCUGAAGGCACACCCCACCCAGAAACCAGAGACAGCAAUGCUGUACCCUGUGCAGAAGCCUGAAAGCAAGCCAUUCCAUCCAUCCCCUGCUUCCUGUCUGCAGCGCUGUACCUGGCACAGGAGUCACUUAGAAUAUGCAAACUAAGACGAUGGAACUUCUAGAAAUUUUCAAGGAGAAAAUAUAAGGUAACAGAAGCAUACAUCUGAACACCCAAGUUGACCUUCUGUGGAUGAGGAUUCCCUUAACUUUAAUUGAUAUCCCCGUUUAAACUCACCCAUGUAAGUCAGGUUAUUUGACUUGAAAUACUCUUUCAGAGUUGACUGUGUCAGUUAUUAGAGGUUGCCUGUCCUUUGGUCUGGGGUGGUGGAGAGUUGUGAGAAGCCAUUUGGUGACUAUCAACAUCACUAUGUUAUUCCUGUCUAUCCCUAUGUAUUGGAUUGGUUCCAUCUGGACCUUAACCAAAACUAAACAAAAUAUGUGCUUAAGCUCUUCAGUGUUCCUAAAAUCCCCUUUUUUUCUCAUGCUUUAUUUCAACCACUAAAUAAACAUUCCUUCUUUUAUGGGAGCUGCUCGUCAAUAUUAAAAGAAAAACAGGUGCCUGAAACAGUCAGAUCUACAGGAUGAUAGGCAUUAGUACAUACAUGAUAACACUUGCCUCCUAACAAAAAAUAAAAGAAGAGCAAGAUUGCACACAAACACAAGCCUAGGAUCAGACAAGUCAAGAGCCAGAGGUGAUGUCAGUCUUGUAACACUGAAAACAAAAUGUCAGGAAUCUGGUAAAAGAUAAUGGUGAUUCCUCUGUCUGCUCUGAAACUUACACUCUGCAAAAAAACUUAAAUAAAACCCUUUCGAGUUUAUUUCCUCUUCAAUACAGUACAUUCUUUGUCCAAGAGUAAAGUAGUAAAAUUGUAUUUGCUGACAUUUAGAAGCUUCUAUAUAAAACUUUGAUCCUUUGAAGUCAAUGAGAUUUUUGUCACCUGACUUAUGGAAUAUAAAAUGUAAAAAAAUAAAUCUGUUUCCUCAUAGUACAUGAAACUUACCAACAAUUUCCUUCAGUACAUUCCAAGUAUACUCAAGAAGUAACAAGUAAAUAGGAUUUGGAGUAGGCCCUGGGCCCUCAGGUUCUCCUGUUCCAUGCAGAAGCAGGAAAAUUUAUUCUGUGACACCAUCUCCAGUUUUCUUGAUGUGUUCCACAUGACAAAUUCUCUGAAUACAGACUGGAAGAUGAACAGUCACUGUUCUCCAGUCUGGACUUAUAAACUUUCAACAGAGAUACAGCGGACUUGUGAUACUUUCUGUGGUAUAUUUUUGAUGGUUGACAAGUCUUUUUCCUUGCAAUUCUGCAAAGCUGUUAAUAAGAUCUCUAUUCCAUUGGGAACUGGCAGUGUUCCAGCCUUUGUAGUUGUAGAAAAUCCAUAUACAAAAUAAUGCUUGGUAGUUCUGAGUUUUUUUACAGGUAUUACUCUUAAGCCUCUGUCUUGUGUGAACUUUGAACUAGCUCACUCAGGUUAGUUAAAGCAGCCUUUAUAGGUACAAAUGGUAUAGACAACAAUUGCAGUACUGUUUUUUCACAUUUUCAAAAAUAUGCUUCUUCCCUGGGGUAUGUAUUACAUCGAAAGCAUAUAACACUGUGAUGUCACGUAUAAAGAUGGUAUCUCCUACACUCCCAAGGGAUGACCUGUGUAACUAAUCAUAACCAUGCGAUUUGUAAGCAGCAGAAUCAUCCCCUGUUUACUUUAUGAAAAUCUUUAUGCUGUGCAGUGUUUAUGCAUGCCUGUGCUGAUCUCAGAUUGUCUUUGGGGAGUGCAUUACAUGCUAUGUUAUACUGUUUUUAUUAUAAGCAAUACAGGUAGUAAUGCCUACAGUUAAUGUUGCUUGACACUUUCUAGUAUAAGAUAUUUUUAUGUUGUUAUCUUCACUGAGUUUAAGCCAUUUGGACUACAAUUUUUCAGGUUGGAUACAUGCCUCUUGAUGAAUUCUUUAAAGGGAUAUUUUACCUAAAAAGAUUCUGCCUGGGGCUUUUGC